GCGCCAGUGGUGCAAUUGGUUAGCGCGCGGUACUUAUGAGUCAGUAAUACGUGAGUUCGAGUCUCACCUGGAGUA